AUGCUGGCAGCACAUAUACUAAGACUAGAACGAUACAGAGAUUAGCAGGGUCUCCGCACAAGGAAGACGCAAAUUUGUGAAGUGGUUCAUAUUUUU
ensembl:snRNA U6 U6 spliceosomal RNA